rnacentral:RNase_P_RNA from 2 species
CAGGCGGGCCGGGCGACCGCGCGUGGCCCCGAGCUUCGGCGACGGGCCGCCCGAGGAAAGUCCGCGCUCUUCAGGGUGCGGUGCCGGGUAACACCCGGGCGGGGAAACCCGCGGAUAGGGCCACAGAAAACGACCGCCCCGAGUCCUGAGCUUGUCGAAGGGCGAGGGGUCAGGGUGAAAAGGUGGCGUAAGAGACCACCGGCGGGUCCAGCAAUGGAUCCGGCCAGGCAACCCCCACCGGGAGUAAGGCCAAGCAGGAGCGACGCCCGCACGGCGGGCAGGGGGCGACCCGUUCCCUCUGAGCUCCGGGUAGGCUGCUAGAGCCCGACGGUAACGCCGGGCCGAGAGAGAUGGUCGCACAGGCGCCGUGCUGGGGACGAAGGGCCCUGAGCUUCGUCGAAGGGCCGUAAACCCGGUUCGUCGCCGGACAGAACGCGGCUUAUAGGUCUGCCUGCCUG